UUCGACUGUUUACCAAAAACAUAGCUAAAAGAAUACAUUAAUCUUAGCGACGCCUGCUCAAUGAUUGAAUAAUAAACUAACAAAAACAAUUAAAUAGCUGCGGUAACACCUGACCGUACAAAGGUAGCACAAUAAAUUGCCUGCUAAUUACAGGAUUGCAUGAAGGCAAAACGAAGUUUAACCUGUCUCAAGACCCUAAUACUAAAAUAGAAUGUGUGUACAAAUCCGCACUUUAACGGCAAGACGAUAAGACCCUAAGAACUUUACUUAAGGCCUUAAUAUAAAUUCUUUUAAAAAACACAAAUGAUAAAAACUCAAGCCUUCCGUUUCGUUGGGGCAACGAUCUCAAAAAAAGUAAAUGAGAUUACUUACAAUCACAAUAAUAAAACCGAUUUAUAAAUCAACACAAAAAAUAUUAAUAGAUAAGACCCACUAAACACAAAAAAUUAAUGAACAAAAAAUAAAAGUUCCUUAGGGAUAACAGCGUAAUAUUGUCCCUAAAGAUCAAUUCAAACAAUGUUUGCGACCUCGAUGUUGAAUUAYRA
rnacentral:rRNA from 1 species